rnacentral:rRNA from 1 species
UACAGAGGGUGCGAGCGUUAAUCGGAGUUACUGGGCGUAAAGGGCGCGUAGGCGGUGAUAUGUGAGUGAUGUGAAAGCCCUGGGCUUAACCUAGGAAGUGCAUCGCUAACUAUAUUACUGGAGUAUAAGAGAGGGUGGCGGAAUUUCCGGUGUAGCGGUGAAAUGCGUAGAGAUCGGAAGGAACGUCGAUGGCGAAGGCAGCCACCUGGCUUAAUACUGACGCUGAGGCGCGAGAGCGUGGGUAGCGAACAGG